rnacentral:rRNA from 1 species
AACGCGAAGAACCUUACCAGGUCUUGACAUCCCAAUGCAACAUGCAGAGAUGUGUGCCUCUCUUCGGAGACAUUGGAGACAGGUGGUGCAUGGUUGUCGUCAGCUCGUGUCGUGAGAUGUUGGGUUAAGUCCCGCAACGAGCGCAACCCUUGAACUUAGUUGCCAGCAUGUAGUGGUGGGCACUAUAAGUUGACUGCCGGUGACAAACCGGAGGAAGGUGGGGAUGACGUCAAAUCAUCAUGCCCCUUAUGACCUGGGCUACACACGUACUACAAUGGUCGGUACAACGGGAAGCGAAGGAGCGAUCUGGAGCCAAUCUUAAAAAGCCGAUCUCAGUUCGGAUUGCAGGCUGCAACUCGCCUGCAUGAAGUCGGAAUUGCUAGUAAUCGCGGAUCAGCAUGCCGCGGUGAAUACGUUCCCGGGCCUUGUACACACCGGAGUA